rnacentral:rRNA from 1 species
AUGCAGGACUGCCAUGUCGUGCACGCUCCAAUGGAGGCACGGCUGAAGCUCAGCAAGGAUAGCUCCGAGAAGGCGGUGGAUGCUACACUCUACUGUAGCAUCAUCGGGAGUCUCAGGUACCUCGUGCACACCCGAACGGACAUCACGUUCGUUGUCGGGUACCUGAGUAGGUUCAUGGAAGCCCUGGCAAGCGAUCAUCUCGCUGCCGUCAAGCACCUGCUCCGGUACAUCGCGGGUACGCUCACGCAUGGAUGCGUGUAUCGUCGUGGCGACGGCAAGAGCUUGGUCGGGUACAGCGACUCUGACCACGCUGGUGACGUGGACUCCCGGAAGAGCACCUCGGGCAUACUAUUCCUUUUCGGGAAUAGUCCCGUCAGCUGGCAAUCGGUGAGGCAGAAGAUUGUCGCCGUAUCUUCGUGCGAGGCGGAGUACAUCGCAGCAGCUACAACGGCCUGUCAAGGCAUUUGGCUUGCUCGCCUUCUUGGCGAGAUGCUGAAUCAGGACACCGCCUCUGCGCUCAUCUUCGUCGGCAACAAGUCGGCGAUUUCCCUCUGCAAGAAUCCAGUGCUUCACGACCGCAGCAAACACAUCGAUCUCCGCUAUCACUUCAUACGUGACUGCGUCGAGAAAGGCUCGGUGAUCGUGGAGUUCAUUAGGACUGGUGAACAGAAGGCGGACAUCCUGACCAAGUCACUUGGUCGUGUCCGGUUCCAGGAGCUGCGCGACAAGGUCGGGAUCAUCGACACCAAGCUCCUUCGACAAGGUUGA